rnacentral:rRNA from 1 species
CAGUCGCCGCGGUAAUACGGAGGGAGCUAGCGUUGUUCGGAAUUACUGGGCGUAAAGCGCGCGUAGGCGGUUACUCAAGUCAGAGGUGAAAGCCCGGGGCUCAACCCCGGAACUGCCUUUGAAACUAGGUGACUAGAAUCUUGGAGAGGUCAGUGGAAUUCCGAGUGUAGAGGUGAAAUUCGUAGAUAUUCGGAAGAACACCAGUGGCGAAGGCGACUGACUGGACAAGUAUUGACGCUGAGGUGCGAAAGCGUGGGGAGCAAACAGGAUUAGAUACCCCUGUAGUCCCUGUCUCUUAUAC